AAGGAUCAUUAUUGAAUAAAUCUGGUGGGUUGUCGCUGGCUCUUCGGAGCAUGUGCACGCUCUCCAAUUUUAUCCAUCCACCUGUGCACCAUGUGUAGUCUUGAGGGAGAAAGGAUUUGUGGUCGGCUUGCUGGCUGCGAAAUCGUCCUCUCGAGUCUAUGUCUUUUCUAUACACCACAUAGUAUAUUGCAGAAUGUAUUAAUGGGCCUUCGUGCCUAUAAAACGUUAUACAACUUUCAGCAACGGAUCUCUUGGCUCUC
rnacentral:misc_RNA from 1 species